rnacentral:rRNA from 1 species
AUUGAACACUGGCGGCAGGCCUAACACAUGCAAGUCGAGCGGAUGAAGGGAGCUUGCUCCUGGAUUCAGCGGCGGACGGGUGAGUAAUGCCUAGGAAUCUGCCUGGUAGUGGGGGAUAACGUCCGGAAACGGGCGCUAAUACCGCAUACGUCCUGAGGGAGAAAGUGGGGGAUCUUCGGACCUCACGCUAUCAGAUGAGCCUAGGUCGGAUUAGCUAGUUGGUGGGGUAAAGGCCUACCAAGGCGACGAUCCGUAACUGGUCUGAGAGGAUGAUCAGUCACACUGGAACUGAGACACGGUCCAGACUCCUACGGGAGGCAGCAGUGGGGAAUAUUGGACAAUGGGCGAAAGCCUGAUCCAGCCAUGCCGCGUGUGUGAAGAAGGUUUUCGGAUUGUAAAGCACUUUAAGUUGGGAGGAAGGGCAGUAAGUUAAUACCUUGCUGUUUUGACGUUACCAACAGAAUAAGCACCGGCUAACUUCGUG